AUGCCGUUCAUCUCGUUUCAAAUCAACGAUUCGAUUUGUCCCACAACUGCACCGAUUUGCAUCAUAUUUGUCUCAUAAUUGCACCUGGAAACGUCAGCUCAAAAUUAGCGAGAAAAAACCGCCGCUCACCUCUCCUCCCCCGCAUCGCCUCGCACCCGCGCACAGCUUUGCUUCUCUCUCCCGCCGCACCUCCGGCCGCUUCCGCCGCUGCCCCGCGCCAGAGCUUGUCGCGGAUGGCUGCUUCCCUCCCAACAGAGCCCCACGUCCUCAUCGCCACAUCUGCAUCGCCAUCUCGCGCUAACAGGCAGGCGCUGCGCCGCGGAGAGAAGUCGCCGGGGCAAUACUGACAGGCGGCCGGCCGAAGUAGUCUGAGGCGUCUCAGCCGAGCCGUCUGGGCUUCGUUCCGUCCGAAGCAGCGGGUUGUUGGCUGCUUCAACCCCUGUCAGGACUCAGGAGCCCUGUCCACCCCUCCGAUGGUAACGCGAUUCAGGAAUAGCACAAAUCCAACAUGGUGAAGGAUACCAAUCUAGAUUGUAUGGUGAAGAGUCAUAUUGUGGCAGACUUAAGGAUGAUUGGAGAAAUCUCAACAUUGCUCGAAUUGGGGUGUUCUUCUAGAUAUUUGUGUUUUCUCACCUCCCAAGGACUUGCUUGAAUGGAUACGAAGAUUGAUCCUGAGCUCGGCGAAUUUAGUAACAAUCGCAGCAACACAAGCAUACUUUUAAACAAAGAAAUGGUCGUUAAAGUCCUUGGAAUUUUAUGCUUCGAUUUCAAAAUGAUUCCCAAGUAUAUAAUUACUAAUGCCUCAUUUGGUUCAUGCAUGUUCUUCUGUACACAUGUUGCUCGCAAAUAAUUUUGUCAAUUCAAAGAGGUAUGCUUUCACUUCUUGUCAAGUACGCUUCCUUGAUUUCUAACUAAUGCUUCCAAUAUAGAGAUGCUAUGUGACAUCACUGACUUGACAAACUGAUGAACCCAUUUUUCCCCGACACAUGCCAAGUUGGAAAAUCAAAAUUUCUCCAGUUCAGUGCAUGUUAUAUAUAUGAUCAGAUGGCAUCAAACUAUUGUUUUGCAUCAGCCAAGCAUUCCUACUAGAGUUCUUUUUGAACCAGCUAGUGCCAUUGUGUGAUGCUCUUAUCGUAUAUUAAUUUUGCUUCAGAAGCUAUGACCAUGUGCUUCAACCAUGUGUGCUUUGUUGAUGCACGGUUUCUAACUAAUUCUUCAACCUCUGUUACUGGUAGGUUGUGCUUCAGUAUUACUGACUGAUGCUUCUAAUGUAUAGACAUAAUUCUGCUUAACCUGAUUUCACUUCUAUAGCCAUUGUUGAUGCAAUAUUGUCAGAGCGCGCCAUGGCGAGGACGCAGAUGCUUUGUUGACGAGGAGCUUACAGCGCAUGUGCGAGCGUGCAUGAGCAGCCCGCACAACAGCCUAGAUGUUGGUUAGGCAGAAGUGCAAAAAGUGUUGUUGUAAUAGUGUUUGUAAUUUUUAUUAUUUAUAAAUCAAAUUAAUUUGUUCA